rnacentral:rRNA from 1 species
UUCUUGGAGAGUUUGAUCCUGGCUCAGGACGAACGCUGGCGGCGUGCCUAAUACAUGCAAGUCGAGCGAAUCAAUAGGAGCUUGCUCCUGUUGAUUAGCGGCGGACGGGUGAGUAACACGUGGGCAACCUGCCUGUAAGACUGGG